AUCUAACAUCCACGUGGCGACGUCUGAAUAUUCCAGAACGGAACUGGCAGCCAUUUUGUAGAUGGCAAGAUAUUGCAACGUUGCCAUGAUUUCCUUGACGCUUAGCAUUGGAUGAUGCCACGUUGUGAAUUGCUUGUAAUAUUUCUAAUAAUCGGUGCUCUAAUUAACUCUUGCAGAUUUUAAGGUUAUACUACUUUUAAAAUUUGUGCCGAAAGUGGCGCAGCAUAAGAUUUCCAUGCAUCAUUGUUCCCACGUUAACAAAAAUAGUUAAUUAAUAUUUCAAAAAAUAUAAAUGUUGAUUUUAUUGGUGGAAUAAAUAAUAAAAAUAUCGGUAAAUGAACUCCAUUGUUGGGAACAAGUCGUCCCACAAGGUCGCCGCUGCAUACAAUUUCCAGCAGAUUCAUGAUAGUGCACAAAGAGCAAUAUUACACAACAAACAUCUCCAAUGAUGCACGAACGUGAUCGAAUCUCCAAGUGUGACAAGCGUCCGCCAUACUGCAUCCGGUUAUUUGCUUUUUCCGAACAUGUUACGUUUAAAAAUGAAAUUUAAUUUGCGGUUUACUUUUCCGCGAGUAUUUCUUUAUAUGGUUAACAAUUAGUUACUGGACUGCACGCAUUUUAAAAAUUGUUUUAAAAGACUUUAAUAAAGUUCAGCAUGUGGUCCGCGUUCAAGCAGCCGGCUAAGACGACGAUUGACCAUGCGCUUGUUUUCCAACGUUGUAAUUCACCGAUAAAAAUUACAUUUCCGCAAAACUGUUGUCACAACACAUUUCGUUGAUAUUUUUAUCGUUGUUUUAUGCCGUACCUGUCGUUCGAUGCUACCUUCUCCGUAAUAAAAUCGACGGAUUAUUUUCCCGUAUGAAAACCACGAACAACCACUCACCUCCAGCUGCCACGACAGAAAGAGAUCGUCGAAGUGAAGUGACAUGCGCAUAGGGCUUCGCAGCCGUAAUCUCGAAGCCAGCGCCCCCAUUAUAUUGAUCACUUGUAAAAUAAUGAACAGUUUCUUUGCAUAUUAUUCAUCAUAUUUCCUUCACAAAAAUACUGAAAGUAAAAUCGUGUUAUAUUUCAUUUAAUAAUGUAAUUAUUAAACCCUUGAUUUUUGUAACUAUUUAAAUUAAAACUCUUUGGACGAAGUAACGUUUUGGUUUCGAGGCUACGGUUACGCAGCACACAGGCGUGCCGGAGACCAUAUAUAUGUUAUAUACAGGUAUUCCCAGGAUCUGCAUUUGUAUGCGUAAGCAUAGAAUCAGGAAAAAAGGCAAACCACAAUGUUCAGAGAUAAAUUGAUGUAUCUGUAACAUGAGGUUCAAUGAUACGAUUCUGAAUCCAUCAAAUCUUAGAAUA